rnacentral:lncRNA from 1 species
AUGGGGCCGCGCGGUGCCGCGGGGCGGGCGGUGCCCUCCGGCCGGGCUAUACCGGGCUGUGCGGGGCUGUACGGGGCUGUGCGGGGCUGUACGGGGCUGUACGGAGCUGUACGGGGCUGUGCGGAGCUGUACGGAGCUGUACGGAGCUGUGCGGGGCUGUACGGAGCUGUACCGGGCUGUGCCGGGCUGUACGGGGCUGUACCGGGCUGUACCGGGCUGUACGGGGCUGUACCGGGCUGUACCGGGCUGUACGGGGCUGUACCGGGUUGUACCGGCGGCCCUCGGGCUCCUUGUCCUCCUCCCGCAGCCCGAACGCACCCGCGUAGCGCGGCGGUCCCCCCCCACCCCCCGUUUCUUAUUGUGGCACCGCCCGGAGCCGCGACCCCUUCGCCCCGCUGUGGCGGCGGGCUGAGCCCCUUCGGCUGCGGGUGGGCGGCCGAACCUUCGCGCACCGCCCGGUGCCCCCGCCCGGCUGGGGGUCGCUGUGCCGAGGACCCCGCGCUCCGCACCCUGUGCUGCCGGGCCCGGCGGGUUCCGCGCUCGCGUGGAAACAUCGUUGUGCUGAAUGUGGGCGGUGGGCGAUGUGACCGUACGGGGCGAUGUGACCGUACGGGGCGAUGUGACCGUACGGGUCGGUGUUACCGUACGGGGCAAUGUUACCGUACGGGGCAGUGUUACCGUACGGGCAGUGUUACCGUACGGGGCAGUGUUACCGUACGGGUCAGUGUUACCGUACGGGUCAGUGUUACCGUACGGGGCAGUGUUACCGUACGGGGCAGUGUUACCGUACGGGGCAGUGUUACCGUACGGGGCAGUGUUACCGUACGGGCAGUGUUACCGUACGGGGCAGUGUUACCGCACGGGGCGAUGUUACCGUACGGGUCAGUGUUACCGCACGGGGCGCCGCGUCGUGCCUUGCCCGGCAGAGCGGCAGCUGCUGCUCCCCCUGACCUUUGCCGGCCGAACCCCGCGGCCACACGGCGCUUGGCUGGAGUUUUCUAUUAA